rnacentral:rRNA from 1 species
UAGGGAAUCUUCCACAAUGGACGCAAGUCUGAUGGAGCAACGCCGCGUGAGUGAAGAAGGUCUUCGGAUCGUAAAACUCUGUUGUUAAAGAAGAACACGUAUGAGAGUAACUGUUCAUACGUUGACGGUAUUUAACCAGAAAGUCACGGCUAACUACGUGCCAG